rnacentral:rRNA from 1 species
GACGAACGCUGGCGGCGUGCUUAACACAUGCAAGUCGAGCGGUAAGGCCCUUUCGGGGGUACGACGAGCGGCGAACGGGUGAGUAACACGUGGGUGACCUGCCCUCAGCUCUGGGAUAAGCCUGGGAAACCGGGUCUAAUACUGGAUAUGACUCCAUGACGCAUGUUGUGGGGUGGAAAGCCUUGUGCGGCUGAGGAUGGGCCCGCGGCCUAUCAGCUUGUUGGUGGGGGUGANGG